UUUAUACAUCUAGGCCAUCGAUACAUAGAACACACUCACUCAAGUGUUGUUCCUUUAUACAUCUAGGCCAUCGAUACAUAGAACACACUCACUCAAGUGUUGUUCCUUUAUACAUCUAGGCCAUCGAUACAUAGAACACACUCACUCAAUGUGUUCCUUUAUACAUCUACGCCAUCGAUACAUAGAACACACUCACUCAAGUGUUGUUCCUUUAUACAUCUACGCCAUCGAUACAUAGAACACACUCACUCAAGUGUUGUUCCUUUAUACAUCUAGGCCAUCGAUACAUAGAACACACUCACUCAAGUGUUGUUCCUUUAUACAUCUAGGCCAUUCAUAGAACACACUCACUCAAGUGUUGUUCCUUUAUACAUCUACGCCAUCGAUACAUAGAACACACUCACUCAAGUGUUGUUCCUUU
rnacentral:lncRNA from 1 species